rnacentral:tRNA from 1 species
ACCUGGGUGGUUCAGUUGGUUAAGCACCUGACUUCGACUCAGGUCGUGCUCUCACAGUUCGUGGGUUAGAGCCCCAUGUCAGGCU